rnacentral:lncRNA from 10 species
CCCUGGCAGAGUCCGUGGGGAGAGCAUUCCAGCAGUUCUACAAGCAGUUUGUGGAGUACACCUGCCCCACAGAAGAUAUCUACCUGGAGUAGCUGUGCAGCCCCGCCCUCUGCGUCCCCCAGCCCUCAGGCCAGUGCCAGGACAGCUGGCUGCUGACAGGAUGUGGCACUGCUUGAGGAGGGGCACCUGCCACCGCCAGAGGACAAGGAAGUGGGGGCCGCUGGCCCAGGGUAGGGGAGGGUGGGGCAAUGGGGAGAGGCAAAUGCAGUUUAUUGUAAUAUAUGGGAUUAGAUUCAUCUAUGGAGGGCAGAGUGGGCUGCCUGGGGAUUGGGAGGGACAGGGCUUGGGGAGCAGGUCUCUGGCAGAGAAGGAUGUCCGUUCCAGGAGCACACGGCCCUGCCCCAUCCUGGGCCUUACCUCCCCUGCCAGGGCUCGGGCGCUGUGGCUCCUGCCUUGAUGAAGCCCGUGUCCUGCCUUGAUGAAGCCUGUGCCACCUGCAAGUGCCCGCCCUGCCCCUGCCCCAACCCCCACCGAAGAGCCCUGAGCUCAGGCUGAGCCCAGCCACCUCCCAAGGACUUUCCAGUGAGGAAAUGGCAACACGUGGAGGUGAAGUCCCUGUUCUCAGCUCCGUCAUCUGCGGGGCUUCUGGGUGGCUCCUGCCACUGACCUCACCGGCAUGCUGGCCUGUGGCAGGCCUAGGACCUCAGGCGGGGAGGAGGAGCUGCCGCAAGGCCCUGUCCCAGCAGAAGAGGGAGGCUUCCUGACUGACACAGGCCAGCCCCAUCUUGGUCCUGUCACCCUGGCCCCAACUAUUAAAGUGCCAUUUCCUG